AAAUUGAAGAGUUUGAUCAUGGCUCAGAUUGAACGCUGGCGGCAGGCAUAACACAUGCAAGUCGAACGGUAACAGGAAACAGCUUGCUGUUUCGCUGACGAGUGGCGGACGGGUGAGUAAUGUCUGGGAAACUGCCUGAUGGAGGGGGAUAACUACUGGAAACGGUAGCUAAUACCGCAUAACGUCGCAAGACCAAAGAGGGGGACCUUCGGGCCUCUUGCCAUCGGAUGUGCCCAGAUGGGAUUAGCUUGUUGGUGGGGUAACGGCUCACC
rnacentral:rRNA from 1 species